rnacentral:rRNA from 1 species
UGCAAGUCGAGCGGUAGCACAGAGAGCUUGCUCUCGGGUGACGAGCGGCGGACGGGUGAGUAAUGUCUGGGAAACUGCCUGAUGGAGGGGGAUAACUACUGGAAACGGUAGCUAAUACCGCAUAACGUCGCAAGACCAAAGUGGGGGACCUUCGGGCCUCAUGCCAUCAGAUGUGCCCAGAUGGGAUUAGCUAGUAGGUGGGGUAACGGCUCACCUAGGCGACGAUCCCUAGCUGGUCUGAGAGGAUGACCAGCCACACUGGAACUGAGACACGGUCCAGACUCCUACGGGAGGCAGCAGUGGGGAAUAUUGCACAAUGGGCGCAAGCCUGAUGCAGCCAUGCCGCGUGUGUGAAGAAGGCCUUCGGGUUGUAAAGCACUUUCAGCGGGGAGGAAGGCGUUAAGGUUAAUAACCUUGGCGAUUGACGUUACCCGCAGAAGAAGCACCGGCUAACUCCGUGCCAGCAGCCGCGGUAAUACGGAGGGUGCAAGCGUUAAUCGGAAUUACUGGGCGUAAAGCGCACGCAGGCGGUCUGUCAAGUCGGAUGUGAAAUCCCCGGGCUCAACCUGGGAACUGCAUUCGAAACUGGCAGGCUAGAGUCUUGUAGAGGGGGGUAGAAUUCCAGGUGUAGCGGUGAAAUGCGUAGAGAUCUGGAGGAAUACCGGUGGCGAAGGCGGCCCCCUGGACAAAGACUGACGCUCAGGUGCGAAAGCGUGGGGAGCAAACAGGAUUAGAUACCCUGGUAGUCCACGCCGUAAACGAUGUCGAUUUGGAGGUUGUGCCCUUGAGGCGUGGCUUCCGGAGCUAACGCGUUAAAUCGACCGCCUGGGGAGUACGGCCGCAAGGUUAAAACUCAAAUGAAUUGACGGGGGCCCGCACAAGCGGUGGAGCAUGUGGUUUAAUUCGAUGC